rnacentral:rRNA from 1 species
AUGAACCAUGGAGAACCCUCAGACGACCCUUCUAAGAUAAGGGGGAGAAUCAGUAGUGGUGACCCUUUGACUCUUCCACUGACUUAUAUAUGUACCGAGUGCUUAUAUAUGGAACCUGGGGGGUUGCUCCGAUAAAAAAUCCUUUCUUUCUCGUCCACUCUAGGGGGUGCAGACACACUUGCGCGGAUUAUAGGUGACGGUUACAAGAAUGGCGGGGAAGUGAAGAGUACCAGACGACAUUCAGGGAUGAAUGUAGACCCAUCGGGCGGGGAUAAUCAUUCCAGUGCUGGGAGAGGUGGCGACACCAGUCUGAGGUGA